rnacentral:rRNA from 1 species
AAGACCUUGCGCUUUUGGAGCGGCCGAUGUCUGAUUAGCUAGUUGGUGGGGUAAUGGCCUACCAAAGCUUCGAUCAGUAGCUGGUCUGAGAGGACGGCCAGCCACACUGGGACUGAGACACGGCCCAGACUCCUACGGGAGGCAGCAGUGGGGAAUUUUGGACAAUGGGCGCAAGCCUGAUCCAGCCUUGCCGCGUGAGUGAAGAAGGCCUUCGGGUUGUAAAGCUCUUUCAGCCGGGAAGAAAAGGUUGCGACUAAUAAUCGCAAUCCAUGACGGUACCGAAAGAAGAAGCACCGGCUAACUACGUGCCAGCAGCCGCGGUAAUACGUAGGGUGCGAGCGUUAAUCGGAAUUACUGGGCGUAAAGCGUGCGCAGGUGGUUUUGUAAGUCAGAUGUGAAAGCCCCGGGCUCAACCUGGGAACU